AAACCUCUCUCUCUCUCUCUCUCUCUCUCUACAUACAUGUAGCUGUUGGCUUAAAUGGGCCAGCAUCCUGCCCAGUGGCAAGAGGCCAUGUGUGGGUCGAGUCAUAUUCGAAAUGGCGUGAGACUGGGUUGGGCUGAGUCAUGUUCGAAGUGGCAUGAGGCUGGUUGGGCCGAGUGGGCGCUGUAUCUAUACGCUUUAAGUGAAUUAGUUGCGUAUUUCUAACAGCUCGAGUUUUUGGGAUUAAUGGUUAGCGCCAACGAUCCGACAAGUGGUAUUAGAGACAGUGGUCAUGUUCGAUUCCCGCAUGCUGCAAAUGUGUGCAGGUGCUGGAGAAAGAAUUGUUGGCUUAAAUGGGCCAGCAUCCUGCCCUGUGGCGAGAGGCUAUGUAUGGGUUGAGUCAUGUUCGAAAUGGCGUGAGGUUGGGUUGGACCGAGUCAUGUUCGAAGUGGCAUGAGGCUAGUUGGGCCAAGUCACAAUCGAGACCCAUGGGCGCUGUAUCUAUACGCUUUAAAUGAAUUAGUUGCGUAUUUCUAACAGUUCGAGCUUUUGGGAUUAAUGGUUAGCGCCAACGAUCCGACAGUAGCUAGCUUAAUUAGGAGAGAGAUGUUACAAAUCACUUAAUUU
rnacentral:lncRNA from 1 species